CACGUAGGGUGCGAGCGUUGUCCGGAAUUAUUGGGCGUAAAGAGCUCGUAGGCGGUGUGUCGCGUCGGCCGUGAAAACCUGCAGCUUAACUGUGGGCUUGCGGUCGAUACGGGCAUCACUGGAGUUCGGCAGGGGAGACUGGAAUUCCUGGUGUAGCGGUGAAAUGCGCAGAUAUCAGGGAGGGAACACCGGUGGGCCGAAGGCGGGUCUCUGGGCCGAUACUGACGCUGGAGGAGCGAAAGCGUUGGGGAGCGAAC
rnacentral:rRNA from 1 species